CCCUUAGAUGUUCUGGGCCGCACGCGCGCUACACUGAUGCAUUCAACGAGUCUAAAACCUGGUCUGAUAGGGCUGGGUAAUCUUUUGAAUGUGCAUCGUGAUUGGGAUAGAUGAUUGCAAUUCUUCAUCUUCAACGAGGAAUGCCUAGUAAACGCAAGUCAUCAGCUUGCAUUGAUUACGUCCCUGCCCUUUGUACACACCGCCCGUCGCUCCUACCGAUUGAAUGUUCCGAUGAAUACCAUGGACUGAGAGUAUGAAUGGGUUCGCCUAUUUCUGCUUCUCUGGAAGUGGAGUAAAUCUUAACAUUUAGAGGAAGGAGAAGUCGUAACA
rnacentral:rRNA from 1 species